UACGUAGGGGGCAAGCGUUGUCCGGAUUUAUUGGGCGUAAAGCGCUCGCAGGUGGUUCGAUGCGUCGUGCGUGAAAGACCCCGGCUCAACUGGGGAGGGUCGUGCGAUACGGUCGGACUGGAGGCCAGUAGGGGGAUGCGGAAUUCCGGGUGUAGUGGUGGAAUGCGUAGAGAUCCGGAGGAACACCAGCGGCGAAGGCGGCAUCCUGGACUGGUCCUGACACUCAUGAGCGAAAGCGUGGGGAGCGAACAGG
rnacentral:rRNA from 1 species